rnacentral:rRNA from 1 species
GAUGAACGCUAGCUACAGGCUUAACACAUGCAAGUCGAGGGGUAACGAGAGGAAAGCUUGCAUUCCUUGUCGACGACCGGCGCACGGGUGAGUAACGCGUAUCCAACCUGCCCCCAACUAGGGAAUAACCUUGCGAAAGUAAGACUAAUAUCCUAUAAUUUCCUCAGAUGUCAUCUGACGAGGAAUAAAGAUUUAUCGGUUGUGGAUGGGGAUGCGUCUGAUUAGCUUGUUGGCGGGGUAACGGCCCACCAAGGCAACGAUCAGUAGGGGUUCUGAGAGGAAGGUCCCCCACAUUGGAACUGAGACACGGUCCAAACUCCUACGGGAGGCAGCAGUGAGGAAUAUUGGUCAAUGGGCGGAAGCCUGAACCAGCCAAGUAGCGUGCAGGAUGACGGCCCUAUGGGUUGUAAACUGCUUUUAUACAGGAAUAAAGUUAGCCACGUGUGGUUUUUUGUAGGUACUGUAUGAAUAAGGACCGGCUAAUUCCGUGCCAGCCGCCGCUGUAA